CCUACGGGAGGCAGCAGUGAGGAAUAUUGGUCAAUGGGCGGAAGCCUGAACCAGCCAAGUAGCGUGCAGGAUGACGGCCCUACGGGUUGUAAACUGCUUUUAUACGGGAAUAACGCGCCUUCCGUGUAGGGCUUUGCAUGUACCGUAUGAAUAAGGACCGGCUAAUUCCGUGCCCGCAGCCGCGGUAAUACGGAAGGUCCGGGCGUUAUCCGGCUUUAUUGGGUUUAAAGGGAGAGUAGGCGGGAUGUCAAGCGAGCUGGGAAAGGUCCGGGCUAAACCCGGGCCUUGCCGCGAGGACUGGCGGGCUUGAGUGCGGGGACAGGAGGCGGAAUGCGUGGUGUAGCGGUGAAAUGCUUAGAUAUGACACAGAACACCGAUUGCGAAGGCAGCCU
rnacentral:rRNA from 1 species